rnacentral:rRNA from 1 species
UACAGAGGUCCCAAGCGUUGUUCGGAUUCACUGGGCGUAAAGGGUGCGUAGGCGGUCGGGUAAGUCUGAUGUGAAAUCUCCAAGCCUAACUUGGAAACUGCAUUGGAUACUAUCCGGCUAGAGGAAUGGAGGGGAGACUGGAAUACUUGGUGUAGCAGUGAAAUGCGAUAGUAGAUCAAGUGGAACACCAGUGGCGAAGGCGAGUCUCUGGACAUUUCCUGACGCUGAGGCACGAAAGCCAGGGGGGAGCAAACGGG